rnacentral:rRNA from 1 species
CUAAGUUUGAUGGCGACCGGCGCACGGGUGAGUAACACGUAUCCAACCUGCCUCAUACUCGGGGAUAGCCUUUCGAAAGAAAGAUUAAUACCCGAUGUUAUAGUCCUACCGCAUGAUGGGAUUAUUAAAGAAUUUCGGUAUGGGAUGGGGAUGCGUUCCAUUAGUUAGUUGGCGGGGUAACGGCCCACCAAGACAACGAUGGAUAGGGGUUCUGAGAGGAAGGUCCCCCACAUUGGAACUGAGACACGGUCCAAACUCCUACGGAAGGCAGCAG